rnacentral:lncRNA from 1 species
UGGGCCAGAGCGGCGCGGCUCAGUAGCGCCGUCGCCGGCGGUCGAGCACUGCCCAUCCACGACUUCCCUCCGUGCCUCCUCGCGGCACCGGAGCGAGUCAGCUCCUGAGCGCGGCUGGGCCAGAGUGGCGCGGCUGAGCAGGGCCGGACGACGGCGCAGCGAGCGGAGCACGGCGGACCGGUGCAGUGAGCGUCAGGGCUGGGCGGCGGGGCGAACAGAGCACUACAGUGGAGACGAAGGACCCGAUUGAUUUUUACUUUUACUUUUUAGGGUCCUUUGUGUUAAUUUUCAGGACUAUUCUGUAACAUUAGUUUUUUCAGAUCAUGUUUGCAUUUUGUACUGGACUAACAUUGAAUGAAAGGCAAUAAACACGGCUGGGCCUUUCCCUGUUAAAAAAGAAGAGAAAAUGUAGGCAGUGCACUGCAUGCGUUGGCCGCAUCCCUGGGAUGUUGUGUUUUUUUUAAAAAAAAUUGACCCCUUUCUUUGCCAUAUGUGAUAUAUGAGGCUGGCGGCAAAUGUGCGAAUAGCUGACGGCAAAGAUGUAGUCUGGCUGACGGCAAAAGUACUUUUCUUUGCCAUAUGUGGUUUAUCAGGCUGACAGCGAAGCAGAUUUGGCUGACAGCAAAGUCUUUGCCGUAUGUCCGAUGAAAAGCUGACGGCAAAGUAUUCUUUGCUGACUUAUCUUUGCCGUCUGAGUUUGCCGUCUGCUUCGUGACGGCAAAGUCUUUGUCAUCUGGAUUUAGGUCUUUGCCGUCUGUAAUCCACAGACGGCAAAUUACUUGUUUCCUGUAGUGUAUAAGGAAUGAUUAAAAGAAAUCCUUACAAUAAAUCUAGACAAUCACACCUAACUCCUACAAUUAUGGAAUGAUUAGGAGUGACUCCUAGGCAUGUCAUGACCAUAUAAAAAUAUCAAAUCAACACAAAAGUUCACCGAUCGACUACUAAACAUGAUAACAAAUCACAAGGACUAAUAUGAAACAAAAGCAUAACACACUACUGCGAUUAGGCAUGAAAUAUGUACAUGAAACCAUACAAAACUAUAUUAAAAUCUAUAGACAUGUCUAACACAAGACAAUAACAAUAGGAAAAAAUAUUAUCAACUUGUGACAACAAAAGCUAUAAUCGAUAAACAAAUAAAUCUAACAAAUCAUUUGUCACACUCAAAAAUUAUGAGGCCAAUAGGAUACACACCUAGGCAUAUCGCGAACAUAUGAACAAUAACAUAUUAAUACAAAAAUUAACUGAUGAACAAAUCCCAUUCAAUCUUGGGCAAGAACAACUAUAACAAAAAUUUAUACUAAACUCUUAUUGAUGAAACUAGCGAUCUACCUCCACCAUGGGUUACUAUGGGCCUGAGAAACAAAUCAUAUGUUGAACACAAGAUCAUCAGAGAAACUAAAAGGUACGCAGACAUGUUGAUGGAAUCCGUUCAUGCAUCAGCGCAAGCAACGACAUAGAUGAGUCGAAUGAUGAUGUCUACGAGAUAGAGUAGAUGAUGAUGAUGUAACGCCCUCGAUGCGGCUAUAUCUCCUACGUGUCGAAGCACGACUUAGAGGCAUAACCGCAUUGAAAGCAAUGUCGCAAGUAAGGUAAUCUUCACAACAUCCCAUGUAAUACAUAAUAAGGGGAAAGGAACAUAGUUGGCUUACACUCGCCACAUCACACAAAGUAUAUAAAUAGCAUUACAUCAUCCAAUACACUCAUGGUCCGACUACUGUACCAAAAUAAAAGAUCAACCCAACAUGCGACACGGUCCCGAUCGCCCCAACUGGUCACCACUACUGAUCAUCAGGGAAAGACACAUAGUAACAGCGUGAGUCUUCAUCGAACUCCCACUUGAGCUCAAGCGCAUCAUCUGGAACGGAGUCAUCGGGCCCUGCAUCUGGUUUGGAAGUAAUCUGUGAGCCACGGGGACUCAGCAAUCUCGCACCCUCGCGAUCAAGACUAUUUAAGCUUAUAGGUAAAGGCAAGGUAAUAUGUGGAGCUGCAGCAAGCGACUAGCAUAUGUGGUGGCUAACCUAUUCGCAAAUGAGAGCGAGAAGAGAAGGCAAUGCACGAACGAAUAACUAGUGAACAACCUGCGCGAACAUUACUCCAACACCGUGUUCGCUUCCCGGACUCCGCCGAGAAGAGACCAUCAUGGUAACACACUCAGUUGAUUCAUUUUAAUUAAGUUAAGGUUCAAGUUAUCUACAACCGGAUAUUAACAAAUUCCCAUCUGCCCAUAACCGCGGGCACGGCUUUCGAAAGUUCAAAUCCCUGCAGGGGAGUCCCAACUUAGCCCAUGAAAAGCUCUCAUGGUCAACGAAGGAUAUACCUUCUAGCGGGAAGACCCGAUCAGACUCGGAAUCCCGGUUACAAGACAUUUCGACAAGUUAAAACAAACCCAGCAACACCGCCCGAGUGUGCCGACAAAUCCCGAUAGGAGCUGCACAUAUCUCGUUCUCAGGGCACACUCAGAUGAGACUAGCUACGAGUAAAACCAAAUCUCAAGUUGCCCCGUGGUGGCCCCGUAGGCAGCUCAGUCGGACCAACACUCAGAGGAGCACUGGCCCAGGGGGGGUUUAAAUAAGGUGACCCUCGGGCUCCGGAAACCCAAGGGAAAAAGAGGCUAGGCGGCGAAUGGUAAAACCAAGGUUGGGCAUUGCUGGAAGAGUUUUAUUCAAGGCGAACUGUCAAGGGGUUCCCAUUAUUACCCAACCGCGUAAGGAACGCAAAAUCCGGGAACAUAACACCGAUAUGACGGAAACUAGGGCGGCAAGAGUGGAACAAAACGCUAGGCAAAAGGCCAAGCCUUCCACCCUUUACCAAGUGUAUAGAUGCAUUAAGAUAACAAGAUAAUAUAGUGAUAUCCCAACAAGUAAAUAAUGUUCCAACAAGGAACGGCCUCCAAUCUUCACCUGCAACUAGCAACACUAUAAGAGGGGCCGAGCAAAGCGGUAACAUAGCCAAUCAAGGGUUUGCUAGGACGAGGUGGGUUAGAGGUUUGACAUGGCAAUUUGGGAGGCAUGAUAGGCAAGUGGUAGGCAUCGUAGCAUAGGCAUAGCAAAAGAGCGAGCAUCUAGCAAAGCAAAGAUAGAAGUGAUUUCGAGGGUAUGAUCAUCUUGCCUGCAAAGUUGUCAGAGUUGACUGGAUCCUCGAAAGCAAACUCAACGAGCUCCUCGUUAGCAAACUCGUCUCCCGGCUCUACCCAAACAAGACAAACAAGCAAAAGGAAUGCAAUCAACCACGUGCAAAGCUCAAACAACAUGAUGCAAAUAUGGUAUGCUAUGCGGGAUGCGAUAUGGGAUGCAUAUGCAAGAUUUGACAAGGAAUGAUUGAAUCUGGCCUCAACUUGGAAAUCCAAGUGUGCCACUGGAAAGGUGAGGUGAUUUCGCUUGAAAACAAUAUAAAGAACACCAGAAUCGGAGACACGGUUUGGAAAUGGCAAGCAAAACAAAUAUGGCACCGGUCUGCGAUAAAUAGCAAGUAGCCAUCUAAAUGUAUCAAGAUAAAUAUGCUACAGCACUCAAACAAGACAACAAAAUACAUGGCAGGGAUCCACUCAUGAUGCUUAACAAAAUAUGAACGCUGAGAUGCGGACAAUUCAUCCAUUAACAGGUUCAAACAAGCAUGGCAAAAGUGCAAUUGGUAAACAGAUUUCAGACUUAGUGAAAUUAACACUAGUCUGGAAUUUCAGAUCAGGUAGCACACUUUGGAGCAUGAAAACUACAUGCUACAGGAACUUAAAAUGGAAAAGUAAAGCAUGGCAUGGAGCUACUCAAGGAUCUUAACAAAAGUCCCUUAGUGACCUUGAGCCAAAAGGGAUCAGAAAAUACAAUUGCAAGCAUGUGAACAUGGCAAAAACAUAAUUAGAUCUCAGACUUAGAGAAAAACUGGAGCAUGCAAAUCAGAUAUCAAGUAGGCAUGUUCACGAGCUCGAUGCACUCACUACAGAGCAAGGCAUGACAAUCUAAGCAUACCCCCAUCAAGAAUACACAUUGUAUAAGCUAGACAUGGCAAGAACAACAACAUAGAAUGCCCGUAUCAACAACAACAUCCUCGGCAAAAUUGCUAACAAGUAAACAAUCUGCCCAGAUUCACGAAAUGACAAAAGUAGAGCUCGAUUGACUCAAGCUAGGUUGCUCCAUAAUUGCAAACAAAGACAUGGAUGUUUAGAGCACCAUGAGAUUAACAAAACAUCCUUACUGGUCAUCCUCAAAAGAGGCACGGAUCACUAGGAAACAACAUGAACAUAUGGCAUAUUGAUAAGAACAGCUCAAGGACUUGGUGGAAAUGCUAAGUCCCUGAAAUCAACAUUAACGAAUGCACCACUUUGCAAGCUUGUGCUAGUCACCACACAUAUCACAAAAAUACAUGGAUAGCACCUAUGGAAAGAUGGAAAAGCAUAUAACAAAACACAUGUAGAGCAUAUCAUGCACACAAUAAUCAUGGCAAAAAUGACAAAUAGCUAUUUGGAACAGCAGAUCUGACAAUUAACUCAAAUAGCACUCUUCCAACAGCAUUUCGGGCAUCAAGGCAAGAUCGAAUGAAAAUGAUGCAAUGAGAUGAAAUGAUGUGCUCUCUCGGACGAACAUUUUGAUAUGCUACACGUCCAAAACGAAGCUACGGUUGCAGAGAUAUAGCAUGAUGAAAAACACAAAUUAUUAGGGCUACGGGAGGAAAGUCAACCAUCUCAGAUCUAGAUCUGAGAACACUGUUCACGCGCGGACUUCGAGGUUCGUCAGGGAGCUCGCUGGAGUUCUUCGUGGAGGUGGCCGAAGCUCGCCGGCUUGCCGGAGAGGGAGGAGGAAGCCGAGGCGGCGGUGCUCGGUUGCCGGAGCGUGGCGGCGUCGGCCGGCGGGAGCGGCGCGGCGGGGCGGAGGGACGAGCUGCCGGAGCUCGGGCACCGAACCUCGCCGGAGUUGGGCGGCGUGGCGAAGGUACGAGCUGCGGGGCGGCGGCACGAGGUAGGAGACGGGCGGCGGGGCGCGGGAUGCCUCCGGCCCGGGCGCGGCGAAGGAGAGGGCCGGCCUUGGGCCCGGCGGGCCUCAGCGGGAGUGGCGGCGAUGUGGGGCGUUGCUUCCACGCGGCGCGCCCCGGUUGGCCGGAGAUGGCGCGGCGGACGCUGUCCGGGCGGGCCGGACGUGUCCGGUGUGGCGAGGAGCGGGGAAAAAAUAGGGUUUCAGGGAAGAAGGAGACGUGAAUUUCGGAGGGGGCUAUUUAUAGGCAUAGAAGGAGCUAGGGGAGUCCAAAUGGGGUGCGGUUUUCGGCCACGCGAUCGUGAUCGAACUCUCUAGAUGAUGGAGAGGUUUUUGGUGGUUUUUGGGCCAAAAUGGAGGGGUGUUGGGCUGCAACACACACGAGGCCUUUUCGGUCCCUCGGUUAACCGUUGGAGCAUCAAACGAAGUCCAAAUGGUACGAAACUUGACAGGCGGUCUACCGGUAGUAAAACAAGGCCGCUUGGCAAGUCUCGGUCCAAUCCAGAAAUGUUUAAUCCCCACACACGAAAAGAAGGUAGAAAUGGCCACCGGAGGAGAUAGGAGCGCCGGAAUGCAAAACGGACAACGGGGAAAAUGCUCGGAUGCAUGAGACGAACACGUCUACAAAUGCAAUGCACAUGAUGACAUGAUAUGAGAUGCAUGACAACGGCAAAAACACACGGAGAUAAAAACUCGAACCCGAGAAAAUAAAAUAACUUAGCGCCGGAAACGACAUGAGUUGGAGUACAUAUUAGGUAAAUUACAUCCGGGGUGUUACAGAUGAGUACACAUGCAAAAGGAAUUUGCACCUCAUUUGGACUCUUCUAGCUCCCUCUACCUAUAAAUAUGUGAUCCCCUCCGAAAAUCCCGCAGUCCAAACCCUAGAUCAAACUCCCUCAUCGCCGCCGGACAUUUCUUCCCGCGUUGGACAUGUCCGCUCGCCGCCGGCCAGCUCACCGCAGCCAAUCAAGACUUGCCACGUCGCCCCGCCGCCGCCCUCGUCCACUCCUCGCGCGCCACCUGGCCUCCUGCCUCCUUCCCGCCGCCAUNNNNNNNNNNNNNNNNNNNNNNNNNNNNNNNNNNNNNNNNNNNNNNNNNNNNNNNNNNNNNNNNNNNNNNNNNNNNNNNNNNNNNNNNNNNNNNNNNNNNNNNNNNNNNNNNNNNNNNNNNNNNNNNNNNNNNNNNNNNNNNNNNNNNNNNNNNNNNNNNNNNNNNNNNNNNNNNNNNNNNNNNNNNNNNNNNNNNNNNNNNNNNNNNNNNNNNNNNNNNNNNNNNNNNNNNNNNNNNNNNNNNNNNNNNNNNNNNNNNNNNNNNNNNNNNNNNNNNNNNNNNNNNNNNNNNNNNNNNNNNNNNNNNNNNNNNNNNNNNNNNNNNNNNNNNNNNNNNNNNNNNNNNNNNNNNNNNNNNNNNNNNNNNNNNNNNNNNNNNNNNNNNNNNNNNNNNNNNNNNNNNNNNNNNNNNNNNNNNNNNNNNNNNNNNNNNNNNNNNNNNNNNNNNNNNNNNNNNNNNNNNNNNNNNNNNNNNNNNNNNAGCAACCCGCCGGACCCGGCCGCGCCGGUGUCUCCCUCGCCUGGCCGGGGCUCGCCGCCGUCCUCCGGCCACCACCGCCGCCUCGGUUUCGCCGCCGCCGUGCACCGCCUCGACUUCCGCGCGGCGCCACCGGAGCCGUCCCCGCCUCCCCGCUCCUCUCCGGCCAUCUCCUUCCACUCCGGCCGCCGUCCCCGUCGUCUCCGGCGAGAUCCGCCGUCCUCGUCACCCGCGUUAACCGGGACCAGAUCCACCACACCCUCCAUCCAAACGCCGCGUCCACAUCCCGGAUAUCCUCAUCCCGCAUUGACUUUCUCGGAUAGGUUAAAUUUCACUAGGUCCCCGAGUUUUCCAUGUUUCAAAUGCCCAUGUUCAUCGCAUCAUAACUUUGCAUCCGUAGAUCCAAUUUGCGCAUAUAGCAUAUCAAAAUGUUCGUCUCAGAGAGCAUAUCAUUUCAUCUCAUUGCAUCAUUUUCAUUUGAGUUCAUCUUGAUGCCCGAAAUACUGUCGGAAAAGUGCUACUUGAGAUAAUUGUCAGAUCUGCUACUCCAUUUAGAUAUUUGUCAUUUUUUGCCAUGAUUAUUGUGUGCAUGUUAUGCCCAUGAGCUCUACAUAUGUUUUGUUAUACACUUUGCCAUCUUUUCAGAGGUGCCAUCCAUGUAUUCUUGUGAUGUGUGUGGUGACUAGCACAAGCUUGCCAAGUGAGGCACUUGGUAAUGCUGAUUUCAGGGACUUAGCAUUUCCACUAAGUCCUUGAGCUGUUUAUCUCAUAUUGCCAUAUGUUCAUGUUGUUUCCUAGUGAUCCGUGCCUCUUUUGAGGAUGAUCAGUAUGGAUGUUUUGUUAAUUUUGUAGUGCUCUAUCCAUCCAUGUCUUUGUUUGCAAUUAUGGAGCACCCUAGCUUGAGUCAAUCGAGCUCUACUUUUGCUACUUCGUGAAUCUGGGCAGAUUGUCUACUUGUUAGCGAUUUUGCCGAAGAUGUUGUAGUUGAUCCGUGCAUGCUAUGUUAUUGUUCUUGCCAUGUCUAGCUUGCAUUUUGUGUAUUCUUGAUGGGUGUAUGCUUAGAUUGUCAUGCCUUACUCUGUAGUGAGUGCAUCGAGCUCGUAAACAUGCCUACUUGAUAUCUAUUUACAGCAUGCUCCAGUUUUCACUAAGUCUGUGAUCUGAUUAUGUUUUUGCCAUGUUCACAUGCUUGCAAUUGUAUUUUCUGAUCCCUUUUGGCUCAAGGUCACUAAGGGACUUUUGUUAAGCUCUUUGAGUAGCUCCAUGCCAUGCUUUACUUUGCCAUGUUCAGGUCUGGUAGCGUGUAGUUUGGUUGCUCCGAAGAGUGCUACCUGAUCUGAAAUUCCAGACAAGUGUUAAUUUCACUAAGUCUGAAAUCUGUUUACCAUAUGCAUUUUUGCCAUGCUUGUUUGAACCUGUUAAUGGAUGAUUUGGCUGUAGCUCAGUGCUAGACUUUUGUUAAGCAUCAUGAAUGGAUCCCUGCCAUGUAUUUUGAUGCCAUGUUUGGGUGUUGUAGCAUGUUCAUCUUGUUGCAUUUAGAUGGCUACUUGCUGUAAAUCGCGGAACGUGGUCAUAUUUGAAUUGAUCGCCAUUUCCAAACCGUAACUCCGAUUCCGGUGAUCUUUAUAUCGUUUUCAAGCGAUUUCAUCUCUCCUUUCCAGUGGCACACUUGGAUUUCCAAGUUGAGGCCAGGUUCUUUCAUUCCUUGUCAAAUCAUGCAUAUGCAUCGCAUACCGCAUCCCGCAUAUCAUACCAUGUUUAUGUGGUGGUUGUUUACUAUGUUGUGUGCUUCUUUCCGGUGUUUGCUUCUUCGGGUUGGUUCCGAUAACGUCGCGUUUGUGAGGACCCGUUCGACUACGUCCAUUUGUCUUAUUCAUGGACUCGUUCUUCUUCCUUGCGGGAUCUCAGGCAAGAUGAUCAUACCCUCGAAAUCACUUCUAUCUUUGCUUGCUUAGUUGCUCGCUCUUUUGCUAUGCCUAUGCUGCGAUACCUACCACUUGCUUAUCAGGCCACCCAUAUUGUUGAACCAAGCCUCUAACCCACCUUGUCCUAGCAAACCGUUGAUUGGCUAUGUUACCGCUUUGCUCGGCCCCUCUUAUAGCGUUGUUAGUUGCAGGUGAAGAUUGAAGUUUCGUUCCUUGUUGGAACAUGUUUACUUGUUGGGAUAUCACUAUAUAUCUUAUUUAAUUAAUGCAUCUAUAUACUUGGUAAAGGGUGGAAGGCUCGGCCUUAUGCCUAGUGUUUUGUUCCACUCUUGCCGCCCUAGUUUCCGUCAUAUCGGUGUUAUGUUCCCGGAUUUUGCAUUCCUUACGCGGUUGGGUAAUAAUAGGAACCCCUUGAUAGUUCGCCUUGAUUAAAGCUUUUCCAGCAAUGCCCAACAUUGGUUUUAACAUUUGCCGCCUAGCCUUUUCUUUUCCCUUGGGGGUCGCGCACCCAAGGGUCAUCAUUAUUUUACCCCCCCCCCGGGCCAGUGCUCCUCUGAGUGUUGGUCCAACCGAGCAAUGUCCGGGGCUACCAGGGGCAACUCUGGGCUGGCCUACCCGACGUCUUGCUCAUCCGGUGUGCCCUGAGAACGAGAUAUGUGCAGCUCCUAUCGGGAUUUUUCGGCACAUCUGGGUGGUGUUGCUGGAUUUGUUUUAACUUGUCGAAGUGUCUUGUUGUACCGGGAUACCGAGUCUGAUCGGAAUGUCUCGGGAGGAGGUCUAUUCCUUCGUUGACCGUGAGAGCUUGUCAUGGGCUAAGUUGGGACACCCCUGCAGGCAUUUGAACUUUCGAAAGCUGUGCCCGCGGUUAUGGGUAGAUGGGAAUUUGUUAAUGUCCGGUUGUAGAUAACUUGAACCUUAACUUAAUUAAAAUGAGCCAACUGCGUGUGUAACCGUGAUGGUCUCUUUCCGGCGGAGUCCGGGAAGCGAACACGGUGUUGGAGUUAUGCUUGACGUAGGUUGUUUUAGGAUCACUUCUUGAUCAUAGCUUUUCGACCGUGUUUUGCCUUCUCUUCUCGCUCUCAUUUGCGUAUGUUAGCCACCAUAUAUGCUAGUCGCUUGCUGCAGCUCCACCUCAUACCUUUUACCUUACCCUUAAGCUUAAAUAGUCUUGAUCGCGAGGGUGCGAGAUUGCUGAGUCCCCGUGGCUCACAGAUACUUCCAAAACCAGCUUGCAGGUGCCGGUGAUGCCAUUCCAGGUGACGCAACCAAGCUCAGGAGGAGCUCGAUGAAGAUCUUGUCCUUUAUGUUGUUUCGUUCUAGUUGAUCAGUAGUGGAGCCCAGUUGGGGUCGAUCGGGGACCUUUGUCGCUUUUGGGGUUCUUCUUUUAUUUUGGUUCCGUAGUCGGACCUUGUGUGUAACUGGAUGAUGUAAUGCUAUAUUCAUGUAUUGUGUGAAGUGGCGAUUGUAAGCCAACUAUGUAACUUCUUCCCCUAUUUUAUUACAUGGGUUGUGUGAAGAUUACCUCACUUGCGACAUUGCUUUCAAUGCGGUUAUGCCUCUAAGUCGUGCUUCGGCACGUGGGAGAUAUAGCCGCAUCGAGGGCGUUACACAUGACCUCCAGAACAGGAUUACCGUAUCAGUCUGGUGCGGAUCUUACUCUGGUUGACCUACGAGGUUCGGUAGUAACUUGAUCAGAAGUUUCAUGAUCAUCAUCAUUAGCUUCCUCACUUCUGGUAUAGGAAUCACUGGAACUGAUUUCAGUGAUGAACUACUUUCCAAUAAGGGAGAAGGUAGAAUUACCUCGUCAAGUUAUACUUUCCUCCCACUCACUUCUUUCGAGAGAAACUCAUUCUCUAGAAAGGAUCCAUUCUUAGCAACGAAUAUCUUGCCUUCGAUUCUGUGAUAGAAGGUGUACCCAACAGCAUCCUCUCGGUAUCCUAUGAAGACACAUUUCUCCGAUUUGGGUUCAAGCUUAUCAGGUUGAAGCUUUUUCCCAUAAGCAUCGCAGCCCCAAACUUUAAAAAAUGACAACUUGGGUUUCUUGCCGAACCAUAGUUCAUAAGGUGUCGUCUCAACGGAUUUUGAUGGUGCCCUAUUUAACAUGAAUGCAGUCGUCUCUAAAGCAUAACCCCAAAACGAUAGCGGUAAAAUCAGUGAGAGACAUUAUAGAUCGCACCAUAUCUAAUAAAGUGUGGCGUGAGUUGUGAAACUAUUCCACAUUGUUUCAAAUGAAGUCCAAACUCAUAACUCAAAUAUUCACCUCCAUGAUCAUAUCGUAGAAACUUGGUUUUCUUGUUACGAUGAUUUUCCACUUCACUAUGAAAUUCUUUGAACUUUUCAAAUGUUUCAGACUUAUGUUUCAUUAAGUAGAUAUACCCAUAUCUGCUGAAAUCAUCUGUGAAGGUAAGAAAACCAUAUUCGCCGUGAACCUCAAUGUUCAUUGGACCACAUACAUCAGUAUGUAUGAUUUUCAAUAACUAUGUUGCUCGCUCCAUUGUUCCGGAGAACGUAGUUUUAGUCAUCUUGCCCAUGAGGCAUGGUUCGCAAGUACCAAGUGAUUCAUAAUCAAGUGAUUCCAGAAGUCCAUCAGAAUGGAGUUUCUUCAUGCGCUUUACACCAAUAUGACCCAAACGGCAGUGCCACAAAUAAGUUGCAUUAUCGUUAUCAACUUUGCAUAUUUUGGCUUCAAUACUAUGAACAUGUGUAUCACUACUAUCAAGAUUUAGUAAAAAUAGACCACUCAUCAAGAGUGCAUGACCAUAAAAGAUAUUACUCAUAUAAAUAGAACAACCAUUAUUCUCUGAUUUAAAUGAAUAACUGUCUCGCAUCAAACAAGAUCCAGAUAUAAUGUUCAUGCUCAAUGCUAGCACCAAAUAACAAUUAUUUAGGUCUAAAACUAAUCCCGAAGGUAGAUGUAGAGGUAGCGUGCCGACGGCGAUCACAUUGAUUUUGGAACCAUUUCCCAUGCGCGUCGUCACCUCGUCCUUAGACAAUCUUCGCUUAAUCCGUAGCCCCUGUUUCGAGUUGCAAAUAUUAGCAAUAGAACCAAUAUCAAAUACCCAGGCGCUACUGCGAGCAUUAGUAAGGUACACAUCAAUAACAUGUAUAUCAAAUAUACCUUUCACUUUGCCAUCCUUCUUCUCCGCCAAAUACUUGGGGCAGUUCCACUUCCAGCAACCAGUCCAUUUGCAGUAGAAGCACUCAGUUUCAGGCUUAGGUCCAGACUUGGGUUUCUUCACUUGAGAAGCAACUAGCUUGUUGUUCUCCUUGAAGUUCCCCUUCUGCCCUUUACCCUUUUUCAUGAAACUAGUGGUCUUGUUGACCAUUAACACUUGAUGAUCCUUCUUGAUUUCUAUCUCCACGGCCUUUAGCAUUGCGAAGAGCUCGGGAAUAGUCUUAUCCAUCCUUUGCAUAUUAUAGUUCAUCACGAAGCUCUUGUAGCUUGGUGGCAGUGAUUGAAGAACUCUGUCAAUGACACUAUCAUCAUGAAGAUUAACUCCCAGCUGAGUCAAGUGGUUGUGGUACCCAGACAUUCUGAGUAUAUGUUCACUGACAGAACUAUUCUCCUCCAUUUUGUAGAUGUAGAACUUAUUGGAGACUUCAUAUCUCUCAAUCCGGGCAUUUGCUUGAAAUAUUAACUUCAACUCCUGGAACAUCUCAUAUGCUCCAUGACGUUCAAAACGUCAUUGAAGUCCCAGUUCUAAGCCGUAAAGCAUGGCACACUAAACUAUCGAGUAGUCAUCAGCUUUACUCUGCUAGGUGUUCAUAACAUCUGGUGUUGCUCCUGCAGCGGGUUUGUCACCUAGCGGUGCUUCUAGGACGUAAUUCUUCUGUGCAGCAAUGAGGAUAAUUGUCAAAUUACGGACCAGUCCGUGUAGUUGCUACCAUUAUCUUUCAACUUAGCUUUCUCUAGGAACGCAUUAAAAUUCAACAGAACAACAGCACGGGCCAUCUAUAUACAACAACAUAGAUAUGCAAAAUACUAUCAGGUACUAAGCUCAUGAUAAAUUAAAGUUCAAUUAAUCAAAUUACUUAAGAACUCCCACUUAGAUAGACAUCUCUCUAAUCAUCUAAGUGAUCACGUGAUCCAUAUAAACUAAACCAUGUUCGAUCAUCACGUGAGAUGGAGUAGUUUUCAAUGGUGAACAUCACUAUGUUGAUCAUAUCUACUAUAUGAUUCACGCUUGACCUUUUGGUCUCAGUGUUCUGAAGCCAUAUCUGCAUAUGCUAGGCUCGUCAAGUUUAACCCGAGUAUUCUGCGUGUGCAAAACUGGCUUGCACCCGUUGUAUGUGAACGUAGAGCUUAUCACACCCGAUCAUCACGUGGUGUCUCGGCACGACGAACUGUAGCAAUGGUGCAUACUCAGGGAGAACACUUGUACCUUGAAAUUUAGUGAGAGAUCAUCUUAUAAUGCUACCGCCGAACUAAGCAAAAUAAGAUGCAUAAAGGAUAAACAUCACAUGCAAUCAAUAUAAGUGAUAUGAUAUGGCCAUCAUCAUCUUGUGCCUUUGGUCUCCAUCUUCAAAGCACCGUCAUGAUCACCAUCAUUACUGGCUUGACACCUUGAUCUCCAUCGAAGCAUCAUUGUCGUCUCGCCAACUAUUUCUUCUACGACUAUUGCUACCACUUAGUGAUAAAGUAAAGAAAUUACAUGGCGAUUGCAUUUCAUACAAUAAAGCGACAGCCAUAUGGCUCCUGCCAGUUGCAAAUAACUCUGUUACAAAACAUGAUUAUCUCAUACAACAAUUUAUAUCUCAUCACGUCUUGACCAUAUAACAUCACAACAUGCCCUACAAAAACAAGUUAGACGUCCUCUACUUUGUUGUUGCAAGUUUUACCUGGCUGCUAUGGGCUUUAUUGUAUGAAAUGCAAUCGCCAUGUAAUUGCUUUACUUUAUCACUAAGCGGUAGCGAUAGUCGUAGAAGAAAUAGUUGGCGAGACGACAACGAUGCUUCGAUGGAGAUCAAGGUGUCAAGCCAGUAAUGAUGGUGAUCAUGACGGUGCUUUGAAGAUGGAGACCAAAGGCACAAGAUGAUGAUGGCCAUAUCAUAUCACAUAUUUUGUUUGCAUGUGAUGUUUAUCCUUUAUGCAUCUUAUUUUGCUUAGUACGGCGGUAGCAUUGUAAGAUGAUCUCUCACUAAAUUUCAAGGUAUAAGUGUUCUACCUGACUAUGCACCGUUGCUACAAUUCGUCGUGCCGAGACACCACGUGAUGAUCGGGUACGGUGUGAUAAGCUCUACAUUCACAUACAACGGGUGCAAGCCAGUUUUGCAUGUGCAGAAUACUCGGGUUAAACUUGACGAGCCUAGCAUAUGCAGAUAUGGCCUCGGAACACUGAGACCGAAAGGUCGAACGUGAAUCAUAUAGUAUAUAUGAUCAACAUAGUGAUGUUCAGCAUUGAAAGCUACUCGAUCUCACGUGAUGAUCGGACAUGGUUUAGUUGAUAUGGAUCACGUGAUCAUUUAGAUGCCACGAGGGAUGUCUAUCUAAGUGGGAGUUCUUAAGUAAUAUGAUUAAUUGAACUUAAAUUUAUCAUGAAAUUAGUCCUGAUAGUAUUUGCAUAUCUAUGUUGUAGAUCAAUAGCUCCCGUAUAGCUUCCCCGUUUUAUUUAUGAUAUGUUCGUAGAGAAAACAAAGUUGAAAGGUGAUAGUAGUAAUGAUGCGGACUAGGUCCGUGAUCUGAGCAUGGGCCAAGAAAAAUAGAGGAAAUUUCAUGGUGUGUUCCGCUUACAUAAUUAUAAUAAAAACUAAACUUAGCAUUGAGAGCUCGUUGGAAGAAACAGAAGGUGAAUCGAGCAUAAUAACAGAGGGACAAAGCUGGUUAUCUCUUUGGGGGCAUUCGUAUCCCGUCGAAGCUGAAAGUUUUUUUGUGGCGACUUGCGCAACACUCCAUCCCAACUGGAGAUGUUCUUCAUCACCAAAAUAUGGCUAUGGCAUCGGUUUGUUCACUGGGUGAAGCUGCCGAUUCUUGGAGACACGCGCUUAUUGAAUGUAACAUGUCCAGGUCCGUCUAGGUGCUAUCUCGGGAGUUGGUGGAGCAUAUGUGUGCUAAUAGGGAUCCUAGUGCCAAGAACUGGAUUUUCUCAGUGAUUGAAUCUUUGUCUCACGAGGAAUUAAUUCAUUUGGUGGUGACCAUAUGGGCUAUUUGGAGCGCCAUGAGGAAAGCAAUCCACCAGGACAUUUUUUAGAGUCCCUUAUCUUCUCACUGUUUUAUUUCCUCUUAUUUAGUUAAGCUACAGGUCCUCGAUAAGCCGAGGAGAGAGGUCUCAGGACAUCUUGGAUCAAACCAAGGGCGAGCAAACAUGCGAGCGGUCAAGGGAGAAAUCACUCUGUUUCAUUGGGCUGGCCCAUGCACCCGAGCGCUCAUACACUGCAGCGUGAACUAAUGCUAUAAGUGUUGACAUGGAGGGGACCUCCUAUUUGCUGCUCUCGACGGCAAACAGUCGGUCGAUCAUAUAGGACAACCCCCGAUUAGCGAGCUGACUACUAUGGUGCCCAAUUUUUUCCUAGUUUUUCAUGGGGGAGACUAGAAUGAGAUCAGCAUAUCUGGUGAGAUCUUGCGAUCCAGCUACAAGAUCCAUUGGAUUAGGAGCCGAUGGUACAGUUCGAGAAAGGUUGGAUGCGAUGGACAUAUUGCAUGAACCUCCUCGUCAAAUGGAAAUAUCGCAGGCAGAGUUGUAUCCCAAACCUAUCCUCUCUCUGCUGGACCAAAGCGUGCCGCCGGAGUGUAGCACGCCAGCACCUAUGGAUUUGUUAAUGGUUUUUGAUUCAUGGAGCCGUCAUCGAAGCUUAGGUCCACUGUUUCCUUCUUCCUUUUGUUAAACACUUUUCUAAUCUGAUGUUCUUCACCUAAUUCAAGAAUAUAUGUGAUGAAUCUCAAAUGAAAAUUCUUUCUUCCAGCCCACUGUUAGCACUGAAAGCUUUAAAUUUAACAUGUGUGGUGAUUCUAAACAUUUGCAUCCGUUGGUUUUGAGUACUUCAUCCGUCCCAUAAUAUAAGAACGUUUUUCAAGCUAUGUUAGUUUGAAAAACGUUCUUAUAUUAUGUGACAGAGGGAGUACUAUAUAACAUUUUCUCCAUUUUGAGGAAAUAUUUAUAAGAUAUUGUGUGCUCACAUCAGAAGUAUACACACAGAAAUGCAUGUGUCCACUAUAUUACAAUCUGCAUUAUACUUACAUCUACAGAAAAACAUCGUCUCUUCUUGGGUGUAAGAAUUCAUUACAAGGAAGUAUAGUGGAAUUAAUCUCUGAAAAAGAGUGACCAUCACUUAAUUCUGUCGCGGCAAGGCUACUGACCAAUUCUGUAAAAUAGAAAGAACAAGCAGAAUCACAAUUAUUGUAAGGAAGAACUUGAAAGAUUAGCAAUUUCGAUACUAAAUUCACUUGAGAUGGCUGGUGCACUACACGGAUUGGUCUGGCAUGCCAAGAAUGGCAAGGGCGAGUUCACGCUGGUUUCCUCCAUUUAGAAGCACAAUUGCCUUCUCUUCUCUGCUUUCCUAGAAAAAAUUUGAAUGGAGGCACAUAUCACAAACUAGAUGCAGUUUGAAGUUAGUGCAGGCUACUGUGCUAAAAUGAGUGCUUCUUAAAUUGAAGCAGCCCUAUACUUCAAUUUUUGAUUCAAAUAUGUACUGAAAAUUAGCAUCCACUAAAUGGAUUGCAUUACAAAUUGUAAGCACCACAAUCAAAUGGAAAUCUCUUGAUUAUAGUACAUAGUAGCAAGGACCAAAAUUAGAGCCGACUCAAUAAAAAAUUCAGUGCAAAUGCGUUCUAAUGUGGGAUGAUUUGGACAUACCGUACUGUUUUAUGUGUUGUAUGUACCCCAAUAUCACCACCAGAACAAGUAUGGAAUGGUGUUGUAUGACGGGGUACUCAUUGGGAAUAGACAAGGCGAUAUGUGGGGAAGCAAUUUCCUGGUUAGGGUUAAGAACUGACGCCGCUGGAGUUGAUGGGAGGGGACUUCGUGGUCCAGAGGUAAGGCCCGAAAUAUCUGGGUGGGGAAGGCCACCACCGCCGACGAGGGUAUUUGAUGGUGUGGAGUGUGGGUCGGGAAGUGUUGGCUGGCAGCAGGAGUGUGCAGGGCAAGGCCGUCGUCGUCGCUGCCGCCAAGAUUGGAUUCUAGAACGGGAAUACCUGGCUGGAUGGAACUAGUCCUUUCCAUGAAGGGGGUUGGUUUACUUAGAAGUACAAAAUGUACAUGGCCUAAAUGCAAAAAUGUAUUGUCAAAGAGGCUGGAAUCCCACCACACCAUAUCUGUACCAUCCUUCCAACAUCCAAGAUGGUGGAUCACACGAUCGUAGCUCAAGUACCGAUCCUAUACUAGUCGUGCCCGGUUUUUCAUUUGACUUUUGGGGAAAAGGAAAAGGAUAUUUAAAUUGCGCAAUUUUUCUAAAUAUUUGUAAACAUUUUUUAAAAAAUUAAACAUUAAAAAAACAUUUUUUUCAAAAGAGCGAACAUUUUAGAAAAUAAGAACAUCUAUUAAAAUUUGCAAACAUUUUUUGAAUAAGUGAGCACAUUUUUAGAAGGUGAAAUGGUUUAAAAAUGAGAUGAUUUUUCAAAUUUGCGAACAUUUUUCAACAUUUAAACUUUUUAAAAUGUGAAUCAUUUUUGUGAAAAACACAAACACUUUUUGAAAGAUGAACAAUUUUUAAAAUUAUUAAUGGUUUUUUAAAAAACAACUUUUCAUUAAAAUACAAAUAAAAAAUAAGAUAAAAGAAAAUAGAAGAUAGAAAAAUUAAAAAAAGUUGGUUUGGAGCCUUUUCCUUUUUUUGAGAAUCAUGAGCUUUAUUAAUCAACCGGCAGGAUUACACUCCUUCCGCACACAAGCCGCGAGGAAGGUAGGAGUAUAAUUAAUCCAUAAGCACCGCCUCCUGGAAACACUAGAUUGUUUACCGCAAAGAUGUGCUAGCUCAUUCGCUUCUCUAGCCAUAUAGAUCAAACAGAAUUCCUCAAAAUUCCCACAAAGCUCUCAAAUUUCAUUUAUCGUAGUAGUAUCUCCGAGCGAUCAACCCUUGGAGACUUCACUGAUCGACCACUAGUUUAGCAUCAGUUUCAAUGAUAACUAUUCUAUAACCCAACUCAUAAGCUAGCUGGACCCCAUCUCUCACUUCAUAAGAGUAUCUCCAACAGUUCAUCCCUCAGGAGGUAUAAAAAUCGCCCCCUGGGGGCUAGCCAGCGAUACAAUUGGCGCUGGGGGCGGUUGGGCGUCCAGUCAUCGCCCCCAGGUCGCCCCCAAGCGCCGAGGUUGCCUCAGUUUUUGGCCCACUUUCGGUGAAUAAAGGCCCCAUAUGGGCGAGAAUCGGCCCAUAUUCGGCGUGGUUCGUCGUGGCUUGGCGUUUAAUUGUGAACAUAAAUUUUUUUAUCACAUAGUUCAUCGUAGAUAAUCAAAUAGUUCAACAAAAUAGUGCAACAACAAAUAGUUCAAUACAAAUUAUAUAGUUCAACAAAUAAAAACUCAUAUUUCAUCACGUGUCGAGCCCGGCGUCGCCCUUGAGCCUUCAUAGGUGCUCCACCAGAUCCUGCUGCAGUUGAUGAUGCACCUGUGGGUCUCGGAUCUCCUGACGCAUACUGGGGUAGGCAGUCCAGCUUGCCGGUAGCUGGUGAUCAACUUUGGCUAGAGGACCCUGCCUAUAGUAUGGUUCAGUGUCAAACACUGGCUCUUCCUGCUCGCUCUCGAUGAUCAUGUUGUGCAAGAUGACACAGCAAGUCAUGAUCUCCCACAUUUGAUCUUUCGACCAGGUCUGAGCAGGAUAGCGGACAACAGCAAAUCGAGAUUGGAGCACACCAAAAGCCCGCUCGACAUCCUUCCUGCAAGCCUCCUGCACCUUGGCAAAGUGGGACUUCUUGCCUCCUGGCACAACGUUUGAGAUAGUCUUCACAAAUGUAGACCAUCUCGGAUCGAUGCCAUCAGCUAGGUAGUACCCUUUGUUAUUGUGCCACCCAUUGACCUGAAAGUUCACCGGAGGAGAAUGACCUUCAACAAGCUUGGCAAAGACAGGGGAGCACUGCAGCACGUUGAUGUCAUUGCGAGUUCCUGGCAUACCAAAGGAGUGCCAAAUCCAGAGGUCAUGUGUGGCCAUCGCGUACCACACUGCAACCGCCUUUGGCGCCUUUGUACAUCCCCUGCCAAGCAAAUGGGCAGUUCUUCCAUUUCCAAUGCAUGUAGUCGAUGCUUCCAAGCAUCCCAGGAAAUCCUCUUGCUGCAUUCUGUGCUAGGAUCCAAGCAGUGUCUUCCGCAAUGGCUGUUCGCAAGUAUUGUGGUCCAAACACUGCCACCACCGCCCGACAGAACUUGUAGAAACACUCAAUGCUGGUGGACUCGGCCAUGCGCCCAUAGUCGUUGAGUGAAUCACCGGGAGCUCCGUAUGCAAGCAUCCUCAUCGCUGCCGUGCACUUCUGGAUCGAGGUGAAUCCAAGUUUGCCGGUGCAAUCUUUCUUGCACUUGAAGUAGCUGUCGAACUCCCGGAUGGAAUUCACAAUCCUGAGGAAAAGCUUUCGGCUCAUCCGAUAACGGUGCCGAAAUGUUUUGUCGCCGUGCAGUGGAGCGUCGGCAAAGUAGUCGGAGUAGAGCAUGCAGUAGCCUUCGAGACGAUGCCGAUUCUUUGCUUUCUCCCGCCCCGGCGCCGAGCCACCUCGCCGCAGCUUUUCAUUGCUCGCCAGCAGCUGGGCAAGGGCGGCAAGCACCAUGAGAUGCUCUUCCUCCUGGACGUCGGCCUCGGCUUCCUCCUUCAGCAGCGCGGUGAGCACUUCCUCGUCAUCCGAGUCCAUCUCGCCGAGGGAGGCAAAUCGCCGAACACCUUGCGCGCUAGUGGGCGUGUACCCGCCGCUAAACUUCCCCUCCACGUCCGGAAACGGCGGCCGGAAACGCCCAGCUGCUGGUGGAGGGGCUGCCUCGGCGAACAUCUGCUAUUUUUCCGACGGGGAUUGGCUACCUAGCGGUGAAGGGCGGCUAUCGGCGCCGGGAUACAGCUAGUAGUGGCCGAGGGCGCGGGGGGUGGGAGGCGAGACGGGGAAGAAAGACUUGACUUUUCACCUGACGGGGUGGGACAACCACGCUUUUCCGUUGCGCCAGAGCCCUCGAUCACCCCGAAGUGCGCCGGGUUCGGCCUGCGAGCGCCGGGCCCAAAAACGGGUCGAACCGGCGCUUUUCGACGUUCUGGAGGUGCGACUGGGGCUUUUUUUUGGCGUCGGCGCCGAAAAAUUGGCCUGGAGGGCCUGUUGGGGGCGCGGCUGGAGAUGUUCUAAGCCUCCAUCACCAUUGCUGAUAAUCCAGACUCAUACCACAGAGCUUGAGCGCGAAUUAGAGUACCCUCAUGGUUCCGUACUCCUAGCCCAGUACCUCCCUGACGAGUCUCCUCCAGAAAAGUGGCAUCAACAUUAAUCUUUAUGAAAGGAUCUUCAGGUGGCUGCCAUCUUUGCAUAUGUUUUAUUGGUCUAAGUAUUUGUUGUUUACCGGUCUGUGAUAGGUCCACUGCUAUGUCUGUAGCCCAUUUCACAGAUUGUUGAAUGGUUCUAGUCGUCUUCCCAUACACGCGCGCAUUUAUCCCAGUCCAGAUUGCCCAAACACCACAUAAGAUGACACACGCAUCGGCUUGUUUUACUGCCAUUUCGUCAAGCAUAUCCAUCGCCCAAGAGUCUGGACGUAGGUUUGGUAUUUUGAUGCCUGUGACUAGUUUCACCUCUUGCCAGAAAAGCUUCGCCCAAGUGCAAUCAAACAAUGUGUGCCAUUUAGUUUCUUCCUGACCACAGGCCUCACAGAACCCAAUCUCCUCCAUAUGUCUUGCACACAAGACUAAUCUAGUUGGUAUAAAUCCUUUAAUAACUCUCCACCAAAAACUCCGGACUUUGGGGGGUAUAGGAAGGCGCCAAAGCUUCUUCCAGAACAUCAAUAAGAUUUAAAUAAAAUACAUAUGGACUAGUCUAUUUUGGUUUGCUCGUGUCAAUCCCCCUGUGCGAAGAAGCUGACCGUUUGCCGCAUGCAGCCAAUAAGAUUUAACGACGAGGAGCUCUCAAACUGGGAAAUUCCGACUAGGUGAACUUAAUCCCGUAGUGAGGCGCCAUGGGCCAGCCCCAUCUGAGGUUUUCUACGUGGCAUGCGCCUGUUUGGUUCAUCACUUUUUUCUUUCGUUUUUUUUCAUUUUGUGGUUUGGUUUUCGGUUUUGAUUUUUAUUUUUAUUUUUUAUGUUUUAUUUUAUUUCUUUUUUCCUUUUUAGUUUUUUGGUUUUUUCUCUAGGUUUUAUUUUUUAUUUUUCUGUUUUUAAUUGAUAUGUAAUGAACAUUUUUAAAAGAAACUGAAUUAUUUUUAAUACACACUGAACAUUUUUAUUUGCACAUAGUCAAUUUUUCUAAUGUAUGGUGAACAUUUUAUAGACAAGCUGAACUUUAUUUAAUGUACAAUGAUUUUUAAACUAUAUUUUAAACAUUUGUUAGCACACACUAAACUUUUUUUUAUAAUAAACAUACCGAAUAUUGAAAAAUGAAAGAAAAAACAAAGCAAAAAAUAUUCAACAACCAGUUUAAAAUACAAAAAAAUCGUUUUUUUUAAACAAAAACCAGUUUUUCAGGAAAAGAUAAAAACACAAAAGAAAUCGCUAAAGUGGAGCUCGUGUGAAUUACGUAUACCGCUGCAUUAUUUGACGCGAAUGGACAUCGAACAGGUGGUCACCUCCCUAGGGAGUAGGAACAACUGGAUGGACUAACCCACAGGCACCUAUCAUGGGGAAGUCGCAUUGGACCCCGCAUAUUGACCGCACCUGCGAGAACAUGGUUUCUUCAUGGCGGAUGCUACGCGUCAUCCGGCUGAUACGCGCGAGUAAUCAGCCGGUUCGCUAGCCACCCGAUCCGUUCAUCAGCAUGCGUCUCCAGCCAUACGAUCCGCGUCGAGUAACUCAGGUCUGCUCGGUCUUUUUUUCCUUCACGUGGGUGUGCUCAGCCAUGGGGCACUGCUUUCCAUGCAUCAACGGGGUUGAGGCCAUCGAGACUAUUUUAAGGGAAAACACUUAAAAGCAGUCGGAUAAUUUUUUGGUUUGUCAGCCGUGUCGGGCGCCGUCUGAUCGGACGCGAUCGUGUGGCGCUGAGCGUCUAUCUGUCCAUGACGCGAGUUAGCCUCCCCAGUUAUCGUAGCCUUUUUUUACGGGUAUAACCCACCUACCGUAGUUGCGUAGCGUCUAGCCUGCUCGCCUAAAGGUACGUGGUACUGUUCCUUUUUUUUACUUUUACACCACACGUAGUGCUUUGCCACAUAGGAAUAGCUACAUAUAUAUGAUGCUACAAAUAAUCUCAAAAUGAUAUGUUCAAAAAGAAAAAGAAAUCUGGGAUGAAGCACAUAGCAAGCACCAGCAAGGAUUCCAACACUAUUAACGUUGGUCAUGGAUGUUUGUUGGAUUUGGUACUAGCAAUCCCAUGGAUCCAUAGUUGCUUUGGAUAUAGCAAUGUUUAGGGUGCCUUCCUUGAGGCCACGGCCGUUGAAGCAUCCCAUCAAGGCAUGACAGCAUCCGCCGAGUAGCCGGGUUGCCAUUGUAACAUCGUCGAAGCAGCCGAGCAGUCAUCCUCACAGCACCGCCACGGCUGAGAAGCAUGGCGUCGCAACAUCGUCGAAGCACUCAGGCCUCCACCGUAGCAUCGCCGUAGUCGUUGAAGCACGCCAUCGCAACAUCAUCGUCACCGUUUGAAGCAUGCCACUGUCGCGGUUGGUCACAUCAUCGCCGCGGUUGUCAAAGCACCCAUCGUGGCUGUCGAUGCACAAUGUCGCAACAUCAUCGAAGCAGACGGGUUUCCAUCGUAGCAUCGUCGUGGCCGUUGAAUCACCCGUCGCGACCGUCGAAGCCCGCAAUCACAGCAUCAUUGAAGUAGCCAGGUUGCCGUCAAAGCAAACUGCGACCACCAAAACAUGUCGUCGCAACAACAUCGAAGUAGUCGGGCUGCUGUCGCAGUAUCUCCGCGGCCACCGAAGCACGCCGCCAUCGUGCCACAGCCGCGGCCGUCGAAGCACGCAAUUGCAACAUCAUUGAAGUAACCAGGUUGCCGUCAAAGCACACUGCAAUCGCCAAAAGCAUGCCACCGCAACAGCAUCGAAGUAGUCAGGCUGCCAUCGCAGCAUCGCCCGUGGCCACCGAAGCACACCAACGUCGUGCCACCGCCGCAACCAUCAAAGCACGCAAUCGCAACAUCAUUGAAGUAGCCAGGCUGCCGUCAANNNNNNNNNNNNNNNNNNNNNNNNNNNNNNNNNNNNNNNNNNNNNNNNNNNNNNNNNNNNNNNNNNNNNNNNNNNNNNNNNNNNNNNNNNNNNNNNNNNNNNNNNNNNNNNNNNNNNNNNNNNNNNNNNNNNNNNNNNNNNNNNNNNNNNNNNNNNNNNNNNNNNNNNNNNNNNNNNNNNNNNNNNNNNNNNNNNNNNNNNNNNNNNNNNNNNNNNNNNNNNNNNNNNNNNNNNNNNNNNNNNNNNNNNNNNNNNNNNNNNNNNNNNNNNNNNNNNNNNNNNNNNNNNNNNNNNNNNNNNNNNNNNNNNNNNNNNNNNNNNNNNNNNNNNNNNNNNNNNNNNNNNNNNNNNNNNNNNNNNNNNNNNNNNNNNNNNNNNNNNNNNNNNNNNNNNNNNNNNNNNNNNNNNNNNNNNNNNCGGUCUGCCGCAGCACGAUUUGAAGCAGUGGAGUCACUGUCACUUUUGAUGUGACUGCAGUUCAAAUCGUGCUGCGGCAGACCGCUUCAACGAUGUUGCGACGACAUGCCUCAAGGAAGGCACCCUAAACAUUGCUAUAUCCAAAGCAACUAUGGAUCCAUGGGAUUGCUAGUAUCAAAUCCAACAAACAUCCAUGACCAACGUUAAUAGUGUUGGAAUCCUUGCUGGUGCUUGCUAUGUGCUUCGUCCCAGAUUUCUUUUUCUUUUUGAACAUAUCAUUUUGAGAUUAUUUGUAGCAUCAUAUAUAUAUGUAGCUAUUCCUAUGUGGCAAAGCACUACGUGUGGUGUAAAAGUAAAAAAAGGAACAGUACCACGUACCAUUAGGCGAGCAGGCUAGACGCUACGCAACUACGGUAGGUGGGCUAUACCCGUAAAAAAGGCUACGAUAACUGGGGAGGCUAACUCACGUCAUGGACAGAUAGGCGCUCAGCGCCACACGAUCGCGUCCGAUCAGACGGCGCCCGACACGGCUGACAAACCAAAAAAACAUCCGACUGCUUUUAAGUGUUUUCCUUUUUUCAUGCACAUGUUUUGGGUUUUCGAAAUUCGCUUGGUUUUUCCUAGGUUCUCUCGAUUUUUUCUCCGCUUAAGCACACCAUGCGAAAGCACAGUUUCUGCUUCCGUGUGAAGCACAGCCCCUGCUUCUUAAAAAAGUGAAAAUCACAGAUAUGCUAUAGUGUGAAGCAUAGAUUGUGCUUCUCAAAAAGUGAAGCACAAAUAUCGUGCUUUCAUUUUUUUGUUUUCGAUUUACUUUUUCGGUUUAUGGUUUUUCUAGUUUUUGAUUUUUUUUCAAUUUUCUUUUCUUUUUCAGGAAAGAAAUUCGUCUACAUCUAUUAACUUGAGAUCAAGUUUCGAACAUCUUAAUGUGAGAAAUACAACAAUGAAAACAAUUUAUAAUUUGGAAGCAUGGUUUGAAGAUAAAAUAUUGUAAAAAAGGAAUUGACGAAAAAACACAAAACUCCCAUGUUGUGACACAUGCAUUGCGCCACGUGUCGGCACAAGAAAAGAUGGAAUUGACCUAGAAAAAGAUAGCCCUUAACUAGUGAUUUCCAAUUACUCGCCUGCUGUCCUCCCCAAUAAAGAUUAAGCUUCCUCUACCUCCUCUCGGCGUUGUCGUUGGUCCGCCUCGUCUUUGGUGGCCUUACGACCAUGGGGCACAGUGGAUCCCGACCCUGUCGGCGGGAGGGCUCCAUUUUUAGAUAUUUCUUCGAGUUUUGUUAGGGUUUGUGUCCUGCUAAGGAAGGCGGGACGAUGGUGGUUCUUGAAGAUAGAAUAAGGUUCUUCCCGUUUAGCCCCUCGUCCCGAUGAUGCUCUAACAUCGUCACUGUGCGUAUGGAGACGUGUCUCCGGCGGAUCUGUCUUUGAUGGGUUUGCUCGGAUCUGGUCGUCAUUCGUAUAAGUUCAUGGGUCUUCAGGUUGGAUUUUUCCGGUCUGCGCUACUCAUCAUCGGCGACGGUUACUGUUCGGUGUGCUGGUCCUCUAGGGCCAUAACACGACGAUUUCCUGACUGUCUAGUAUAACAAGUUAGCCUAGCUCCGGCGAGGAAGGGGCGAUGAUUAUGACGCGUCUUCGACUUGCUUCUGUGCUGGUAGUCAUAACUAGGUGGUCUAUGGAUCUGAAUCUUGCCUCCGUGCUUGUAGUCGUCACUAGGUGGUCAACGAAUUUGAAUGUAACUUCUAUUCUUUUUGAUGUUCGUUAUACUGUCAUGAUUAAAAAAAUAUAGAUAAAAGGUUUUCUGGUAAAAAGUAAAAACUAAUGAUUUCUAGGAACAGAACAAGGGACAAUCAAUAGAUCUACUCAACUGGACCAUCUAAAAUGGGGCCGCUAAACCAGUAGAUAGACAUAGAAAAACACCAGCUAAUAGACUACACAACAGUCAAACUCAGAUUAGGCUGAGAAAGAGUUAAACUCAAUUCUUGCUUUACUUUUUUCCAAGUGUUACUCUAUAUCAGCACUGACCGAGCAAAGUCCACCGUCGGCAUAAAGUGCACACGCAUUGUAUGCAACGCACAAGACUAAUUGGAAGGUGCACACAUCACUCCAAUGAUGGAUUAACUUUCUUCAGUUCUUUAAAUUCGGACUUAAUAUUUCAAGCCCCUAUAUACUUUUUCAGGGAUCAAACUUCGUGGAACCGACCAUGUGGGUUGUGGCAAUCUAAACUCCGAUUGUCUUGUGUAGAUCGUUUGUAACAUCCUCUCUUCUUCUGACUAAAAGGCAUCGCCCCUGUCAGUUUCUUAAACAAAAACUGUGAUCAUCCAAAGAACUAACUCAAUGGUUGGAAUUUUAGAUUUUUUUUCUCGAUAAAGAGCAUUUUUAUUGACUUAAAAUAUAGCAUCAAAUGGAUACAAAACAGGGUGAGCAACACCCGUCCUAUACAUAACUAAGAUGCACAUAGUCAAACAAAAACAAACUAAAAAAAGAUUAAAAAAA